AAGCUCGUAGUUGACCUGUGGUUCGACCACGGCCGCCAAGGCUUUUGUCUUGUGCGCUUGUGGUCGGAUCAUCCUUGAGUGGAAUUGGUCGAGCAUUAAGUUGUUCGGCCAAGGGGACUCAUCCUUUACUGUGAGAAAAUUAGAGUGUUCAAAGCAGGCUUAGGCCGUUGAAUAGAUUAGCAUGGAAUAAUGAGAUAAGGCUUUGAUGCUAUUUUGUUGGUUUGUGCAUGAAAGUAAUGAUUAAUAGGGACAGUUGGGGGUAUUCGUAUUCCAUUGUCAGAGGUGAAAUUCUUGGAUUUCUGGAAGACGAACGACUGCGAAAGCAUUUACCAAGGAUGUUUUCAUUAAUCAAGAACGAAAGUUAGGGGAUCGAAGAUGAUUAGAUACCAUCGUAGUCUUA
rnacentral:rRNA from 1 species